UGAUUUACUUUCUGCUUACUUUAAUUUACAAGUGUUACUUUAAAAGUUCGAGAAGGGUGUUUUUAUUUUAUUUUACAGGGCUAUUCAACUCCCCUUCUAGCUGUCCGCAACGGUCCUACAGAAUGCCCCUUCCAUCCCCUGGAAGGUGCCUUGGAUAUUGUUCAGCCGAGGUUUUUUGUUCUCUUCUUGCCUUGUAAAGUGGGUUAUCCAAUAAACUAAAUAAUAACCUGAAAGACAAGUGUUAGCAUAAUAAUAUUGAAUAGUAAUUAGACCCUGGCUUCCUGAGAUCAGGAUCUAGUCAAUGUCUCAGUUUAGGGGUCCGAAAUGGACCUACACUGGACUAACACCUAUUGUCCCUUAACCGAGAUGAGUCCUCACCGAGUCAUUCUCCUCAGUGACUUACCUUCACUUACCUAUUUGUCGUCGGUUGACUAGCCUCUUGACCCACCAGGUCUUUAUGCCAAUUGUCAGGUUCGCAGACCUAACUGGACUUCUACCGGUUGUUAGGUCCCGUAGACUCGACUGGACUUCUCGCCAGAUAUUAGGUCGGUCUAUUGACCUAUCUGGACUUUGCAUCAGUUACCCAAUCCCACGAACCUAGCUGGAUUUUAGCCUAGUGUCAGGUCCUCCAAACCAUUAACUCUUGUACACUUGGUUAAGUAAUUAGAUCACAACAAUACCUAACUUAACUCACUUGUCAAUCAUCAAAACCUGAGUUAGACCAUUAGUACAAAUUGCACCAACAAUCUCUCCUUUUUUGAUGAAGUGACAACCUGUAUUAAAGUUAGGAAAAAUAUGCAAAAAUAUAUAUAAAAUGAUUUAAGAGAAGUCUAAGGUAAGACAGUUAGUUUUGUUCUCUUAAUCAUUUUUAGGGUUAAGUUCUUCUGAUUUUCUUGGAUUUCUAACUUAAACUCUAACUCUCCCCCUUUGGCAUUCAUCAAAAAAUAUGUAGAUAGAUGAUUCAAAGUAAGUUAAGUAAAAUAAAUAUUGAAAGUAAUAAAACAUUAGUAAAUACAUUUUAAACACCAGUUUGGAGGGACACUAUGUGAAUUUUGUUGAUAUACUUCGCCACUGUUUACAUUGAUAAUUAUUAAUUACGAAGUAAUAUAUGAUAAUUAACUUCGGUAAUAAAGUCGAUGUAGUAAAUACUAUUUUAAACUUCAUAGAUUAAAAAAAUAAAGAACUCACUUCUAAUUUUAUUUGACAUUUUACUUUGUAUUAUAUAUUUAAUGGAGUAAUAAGGCACAAAAUAAAAUUGAUAUCUCCCAAGUAAAAAAAUUUUAACCGGUUAAAAUCUUUUUUUCCACACAACAUUUUUCCAUUUUCUAGGGUUUGAAGUUUCGUAAGAAAGGGGAUCAACGACCCAUCUGCGACAAUGAGCUUCCCCUUGCCAUAGAUCUCCACCAAGCCGACGUGCUUAUCCAUGCCUCACCUUGCCUUGCCCAUCUCCCCCCACUGCUGAUCCAUCGAUCAAUUCUCUAUGCCCCGUCAUAGCGCCAUCACUGCCUCUGACCUCCAUCCACUCCAAGUCUUCAUGCUCGACGAUCGCGCGGACUUUAUACUCAAGGUCGACCUCCUGUCGUCCUCACAAUUGUCUCCCAUCGGUGCUAGGAGCUGGGGCCAGAAGGGAUCACUCUCCCCUUCUCCUUCCUAUUCAUCCUCUUCAUGCUUCCUCCCGGCCCGAGCAACGGAGAUGAAUGGUGCUGGUCCUUUCGACCGACGUGGGAAGAACCCCGAAGGCUCGAGUUGGAUGAUUUCGCCUGCCAACAAGAGUGGGGAAUUAGAUGCGGACCGCGGACUGCGGCUCGCCUGUAGAUGGGGUGGUUGAGUCGGGAGCGUUGAUUGUGCUUCUAUCACCGCUGCCUAGGGAUUUUCUAGGUCUGAGAUGCAAGGACCUGCGGUGCUAAAUGGUAGCCUGGAGGUGACACAUGGGUUAGUGUUUUUGGGUAUGAAAUCAAUUUCUCUCUUUGCUAACUCUGGAUUUUACUUCUAUUGAGUUUAUUUUCCUUGCUACUUCAUCAUAUGGCUAAUUACGUCUUAUGCUCUACUUAUCUUCAAUUGCUAGAUCUUAUAAUAAGCUUGCUUUUCACUCAAUUAGAUAUUUAUACGACUUUGUUUGGUGGAGUUUCCUAACAUGUCUAUUUUACCAACAAAAAAAAUCUAUUAAGAUGAGUAUUUUGGUGGUUGAUUUCAUAUUAUGACGCGUCAUGAAUGUUUGCAGAAGAUGGUUCUUUCACCUUGAACAUUUUAAAGCAUGAUUAAUCAUCUUGUUUGGCAUUCUAUCAAAAAAAAGUACCAGUGUGUUUGUUUAUCUGGUAUAGUCAUAUUAAUUAUUGUGUAUAAGACUGGAUUUUCAUGCGGCAAGUGCCCAAUUUUGUCAUAGAUCUAAAACUAUUAGAAUUUUUCCUUCUUUUUUUGAUUAUCUACAAGCAUGGUUGAUGGUCUGGAUGUAGAUGAUGAAGGUUUUGUACUGACAGAUUAAACUAGUCCAUCUUUAUGGUAUUUGAUUAAUUAUAUCUUGCUUCAGCAUGAAAUCUUUAGUAUAUGAAUUUGGUUUUCAACCUAUUUAUGAUAGUACGGAUUUAGCUCAAUGUAUAUGUAUAUUAUUUUUUGUUUUCUGUAUAUCCAUGCUUCAAAUUUUCUAAAAACAUCCUAUGGCAUGUCUUCUUUGUCUCAAGGAUAGGCCACUACUGCAAGAGUUUUCUGCUCAAAGCCUGCAAGUGCUAAUGUUAUUGGGAUUGAUUUAGGCAACACAAACUCAUGUGUGUCUGUCAUGGAGGGGAAGACACCAAAGGUGAUUGAGAAUGCAGAAGGUGCGAGGACUACUUCAUCUGUUGUUUCCUUUAAUCAGAAGGAUGAGCUUUUGGUGGGUAUUCCCACGAAGCAACAAGCCGUGAUGAAUCCAACAAACACCUUAUUUGGCACUAAAUGACUGAUUGGGAGAAGGUUUGAUGAGUCCCCCAUACUCAAAAAGAACUAAAGAUGGUUCCCUAUAAAUUCUCAAGGCACCUAGUGGAGAUGCGUGGGUGGAGAUGAAUGGCCAGCAAUAUUCGUCUAACCAUAUUGGUGCAUUUGUCCUCACCAAGAUGAAGGAAACAACAUAGGCUUAUCUGGGUAAAGCUAUCUCAAAGGCAGUCAUGACACCAUAUUGGUGCUUAUUGGUGCUUAUUUCAAUGAUGCACAACGCCAUGACACAAAGGAUGCAGGGAGAAUUGCAUGCCUUAAAGUUCUAAGAAUUAUCAAUGAACUGACUAUAGUUGCAUUUUCAUAUGGAAUGAACAACAAGGAAGGUUAAUUUGAUUGUUGUCUUUGAUCUGGGUGGUGGAACUUUUGAUGUAUCCAUCUUGGAAAUUUCUAAUGGAGUAUUUAAGGUUUGUUCUCAA